AGACAAUGAAUAAAUUGGUUAAAGUAAGAAGUGACUCAGCCCCUCCAUGUAACCAAUCCACAUUAGACAAGGAAGUACCAAAUUUCACCUUUGCUGUCUCAAUCACAUAGAUAGAGUCAAAAUUUGGCAUCCAUAUGUUAAAAUCAAUAAGUGUUAAAAGUAAUUCUUGUUCACUGUGAGAAACUUACCAUAUAUUCCAGCUGGGACUGCUCAGUAGACACAAAGUCAGCAAAAGACCAAUAUAAAGGAAAUUAGUAGAGCUGAACAAAGCCACCAAUAGCAAAAUCAAAUUGCAGACGAAAAGCAUCCACGAAUUGUGAACUUUUGCAGCCCAACUCUACUGAUCAAGUAAACAAGGAAUUGGAAAUAUAGCCACGGAUUCAAAUAGAAAAGAAGUGAAUAAGCUGAAAACCUGAAAAUGUAUAUUAGGCAGCAUAUGGAAAGAUGAAAACAAGCACCCUGGAAAAAUUGAAGCAAAAACAAGAAAAACUUGCAGCUAAAACCAAUAAAAUCUAUGUGAAGUGCUACACCAAUGAUCAGUGCUGACAAAACAUUUUAGUAUGUCAUGGGAUUCUCCAACUCACAACAGAAGAAAUCACGUAGACGACUUGGAAGCAAGCUGCCCCCCAGAUUUUGAAAUGAGAAAAGGCAGACACAAAUUUUCUACCAUUCUAACAGAAAUGUUACAGCUUGCAGAUAGAUGCCCCAUUAUCACAACAUACAUCUCUGCCCUAAGCUAUGAGAAGC